rnacentral:misc_RNA from 1 species
ACGGGGCAUUGCGCGUGUGUGUUGAGGGCCCCUGCCUGCCCCUGCCUCUUGAAAACCUCUGUAAUCUGAUUCGGGCGGCGGGCGGUGCUCAGUCACUGAAUACGUAUUUUUUGUCUUGCUCAGGGACUGAAACUCUACAAACUUAGUGCAAUGGCUCCCCCGACGUAUGGCGACCUCGGCAAGUCUGCCCGCGAUGUGUUCGGCAAGGGCUUCCACUUUGGCCUGGUGAAGCUGGAGGCCAAGACGACGUCUGCCACGGGCGUGGCCUUCACGUCCACCUUCAGCCAGAACCUGGCCAGCGCUAAGGUGCUCGGAAACCUGGAGACCAAGUACAAGUGCAAGGAGCACGGUCUGACGCUGACUGAGAAGUGGAACACGGACAACACCCUCUCCACCGAUAUCACACUGGAGGAUAAGAUCUGCAAGGGCCUGAAGCUGACCCUGGACACUAGUCUGGCGCCACAGACCGGGAAGAAGUCUGCCGUUGCCAAGGCGACCUACAAACACGACAAGUGCACCAUCAACGCCGACGUCAAUCUGGACCCGAACGGACCCGUGGUGCAGGGCGCCGCCGUCGCCGGCUACCAGGGCUGGCUGGCCGGCUACCAGAUGUCGUUCGACACUGCCAAGUCCAAGCUGACUCGCUCCAACUUCGCACUGGGGUUCACCGCCAAGGACCUGACCGUACACACUGCCGUGUUGGACGGUCAACAGUUCACCGGCAGCGUCUUCAGCAAGGUGGCGCCCGACAUCGAGGGAGCCGUCGAGGUCGGAUGGACCGCCGGAUCCAACGCCACCAAGUUCGCCCUCGGCGCCAAGUAUUCUGUCGACAAGGACAGUAGCUUCCGCGCCAAGGUCAACAACAGCUCCGAGGUCGGCCUCGGCUACCAGCAGCGCAUCCGAGACGGUGUCACCCUGACGCUCUCCAGCAUGAUUGACGCCAAGAACUUCAACCAGGGCGGCCACAAGCUGGGCCUCUGCCUGGAGCUGGAGGCGUAAGCAGCUCGGCUUCGCUCGGGAGCAGAGACUGGCGAGAGUGGGAGCGUGAGAGAGAGAGAGAGGGAGAGAGAGCGGGAGAGCACGUGCACAUGUGGCGGGCGCGGCCCGGAGAGGACGUGUGAUCCGGUCUCGUAUAGCGUGACGUCAUCCACUCCUUAGGUGACGUCACCGGGGCGUUUAGGUGUGACGUCACUGGUGUUUAGCUAUGACGUCACUGGUGUCCAGCUGGGACGUCUCCGGGACUUGGUUUGGGUUUGGAGAUCGGUGUUUAGCCGGGCGGCGGCCGGCGGCGGCUGCUGAUUGGCUGCCGGUGGUUCGCGGCGGCCGCUGAUUGGCUGCCGGCCGGCCGACUGUGGUGUGACGUCAUUGUAUGGCCUCGCGCGGCGUGUGGUGCGAUUUGCAGGGGUAGGCGGCGGGUCCGCGGAAACCGAGACAAAUAUACACUGAGUAAGACGGGAAA